UACGAAGGGGGCUAGCGUUGCUCGGAAUCACUGGGCGUAAAGGGUGCGUAGGCGGGUCUUUAAGUCAGGGGUGAAAUCCUGGAGCUCAACUCCAGAACUGCCUUUGAUACUGAAGAUCUUGAGUUCGGGAGGGGUGAGUGGAACUGCGAGUGUAGAGGUGAAAUUCGUAGAUAUUCGGAAGAACACCAGUGGCGAAGGCGGCUCACUGGACGACUGUUGACGCUGAGGUACGAAAGCGUGGGGAGCAAACAGG
rnacentral:rRNA from 1 species